GCAGGAGCCAAUCGCCAGCUCUGCGUCUCCCUUACUCUGCCGUGGCUGUAUGGAACCUGACCUGUCUAGCAUUAGAUAACUCUCCCCUGCAGCUUAUGACGAUGGCACGGCGUGUGUUUUAAGCGUUCUUUAGGCCUACUGGCUAAUCAGUGACUGCAAGUGUUUGGU